AGAGUUUGAUCCUGGCUCAGGAUGAACGCUGGCGGCGUGCUUAACACAUGCAAGUCGAACGAUGAUCCCAGCUUGCUGGGGGAUUAGUGGCGAACGGGUGAGUAACACGUGAGUAACCUGCCCUUAACUCUGGGAUAAGCCUGGGAAACUGUGUCUAAUACCGGAUAUGACUCCUCAUCGCAUGGUGGGGGGUGGAAAGCUUUAUUGUGGUUUUGGAUGGACUCGCGGCCUAUCAGCUUGUUGGUGAGGUAAUGGCUCACCAAGGCGACGACGGGUAGCCGGCCUGAGAGGGUGACCGGCCACACUGGGACUGAGACACGGCCCAGACUCCUACGGGAGGCAGCAGUGGGGAAUAUUGCACAAUGGGCGAAAGCCUGAUGCAGCGACGCCGCGUGAGGGAUGACGGCCUUCGGGUUGUAAACCUCUUUCAGUAGGGAAGAAGCGAAAGUGACGGUACCUGCAGAAGAAGCGCCGGCUAACUACGUGCCAGCAGCCGCGGUAAUACGUAGGGCGCAAGCGUUAUCCGGAAUUAUUGGGCGUAAAGAGCUCGUAGGCGGUUUGUCGCGUCUGCCGUGAAAGUCCGGGGCUCAACUCCGGAUCUGCGGUGGGUACGGGCAGACUAGAGUGAUGUAGGGGAGACUGGAAUUCCUGGUGUAGCGGUGAAAUGCGCAGAUAUCAGGAGGAACACCGAUGGCGAAGGCAGGUCUCUGGGCAUUAACUGACGCUGAGGAGCGAAAGCAUGGGGAGCGAACAGGAUUAGAUACCCUGGUAGUCCAUGCCGUAAACGUUGGGCACUAGGU
rnacentral:rRNA from 1 species